UAAAUAUCCAUCCAGCCUCUCGCGCCCCACAAAUUGCUCCUGCUCCUCCUCUAUCUCUCCGCCGACUCAGCGCCACCACCUCCUCCUUUCUCCUUGAUACAACAGAUGAAUAGUACAUCUAGCGACAAGCUUGUUGAUGCGAGCAGCAAGUCAUGGGACAACAGCGAAAGUCUGGAUGCCGGGCGAGAUAUGGAUGAAGCUAUGCUCCUGUCAAGGAUGAUGGGCCAACACAAUGUUUGUUUCUGAAGAUUCACACUGAGCCAAUGCAGGCAGAGUACUCCGCUGGCCAAACCCCCGUAUCUGGCUAACCAUCUCGCGAGAGGAAGGCGCCGGCGCGAGGAGGUAGGAGACGGCGGCGCAGGAGCGAGGACCUGGAGGCGAAGACGCCGACGCGAGGUCUAGGAGGCGAAGCCCCGGCUGGUCUUGGCCGUAGUGGCCGCUGCCCCACAUACGUCCCCGCCGACGCCGCGUGAGGUUCUGGAGGGGACGCCGCCGCCGCGAGGUAUUGGAGAUCCCGGCUGCACUUGGUCGUAGAAAAGAGGACUUUCGUGUAGGAGAAACCAAGAUGUUCAUAUAGUCCACGGUUGUCGUCAGAGUUUGUGUAUUCCCUACGGCAGCAAAAAUAACGUCAAUUAAGGCAGCCACCGGUUCAAACAGUGAGCAUCAGGUUUAUUGUCUGUCUUGGGUGUUCAUUGUAGCAGUAGUGUGAGUACUGGACAGCAUUCUGCCAUCGUCUACCUCUUGUCUACCUCGUGCCUCGCCGGACAGCGCAGUCGUCAAACUCUGUCUCACCAGGCAGCCACCGUCGUCUACCUCUGCUUUGUAGUUAAUUGUGUGCUAUUAAUUCCUCCGAAAAACUUGUUAGGUUAUUCUAACUCUGCCAUGUAUCCGUGAUCUUGUUUUCUGAAUAUGUAAUUUUUUAGUGAUUUUCAUUUUCAUUUUAUUUAUCAUAGCACUCCCAUGAUUUAUUUCA